rnacentral:lncRNA from 1 species
UUUCACUCAGUGUUGAAUAAAUAACUUUUUUUUUUUUCCCCCAGGAGAGAGAUGCUAUUUUAGAAGUCUUUCUAAUGUUUUUCUGUAUGCUGUAAUGGCAACACUUGCUGUUUGGUGGUAAUUUGCAUCAGAUUCCCAGUGGAAAAUGUUGAGAUCUGAGUGAACCUUCUGGCCCUGAGCUAUACGUUUUAUCAGCUUGUACAGGCUUCAAAGAGAACCAGCAUCUCUAUUCUGUGCAGCACCCAGCCUGCUCUCUUUGCUCCAACAGUAAGAAUACCAAACAAGGAAUGCUGCAAUUGAUCCUAGGCAAUAGAAAGUACUUGAAUAUUAAACAAGAAAUAAAUAGGGAUGCAACAAAACUAGCAAUGAAAAGAAGGUGAAGGAGGUCAUGGGAGAGAAAGAUGCUGUGGAAAGUUGAGAUACCUGUGGUAGGUCAGAAGGCUGGUGUUUUGGGUGUGUUUUCUUUGUAGGUC